AGAAGUCAGGUCGGAUUAAGCCAUAGUACGGAAAAAACUAUGCUACCUGUGAGCCCCGUCCAAGGACGUUAAAAGAAGUCAGGCCAUUACAAAUGCCAUAGCUGGAGUAAACUGUGCAGCCUGUAGCUCCACCUGAGAAGGUGUAAAAGAAUCUGGGAGGCCACAAACCAUGGAAGCUGUACGCAUGGCGUAGUGGACUAGCGGUUAGAGGAGACCCCUCCCUUACAAAUCGCAGCAACAAUGGGGGCCCAAGGUGAGAUGAAGCUGUAGUCUCACUGGAAGGACUAGAGGUUAGAGGAGGCCCCCCCAAAACAAAAAACAGC
rnacentral:lncRNA from 1 species